CCUACGGGUGGCAGCAGUGAGGAAUAUUGGUCAAUGGCCGAGAGGCUGAACCAGCCAAGUCGCGUGAGGGAAGACGGCCCUACGGGUUGUAAACCUCUUUUGUCGGGGAGCAAAGCGAGUCACGUGUGACUCAUUGAGAGUACCCGAAGAAAAAGCAUCGGCUAACUCCGUGCCAGCAGCCGCGGUCAUACGUAGGAUCCGAGCAUUAUCCGGAGUGACUGGGUGUAAAGAGUUGCGUAGGUGGCAUAAUAAGUAGCUAGUGAAAUCUGGUGGCUCAACCAUUCAGACUAUUAGCUAAACUGUUAAGCUCGAGACCGUGAGGGGUAACUGGAAUUUCUAGUGUAGGAGUGAAAUCCGUAGAUAUUAGAAGGAACACCAAUAGCGUAGGCAGGUUACUGGGACGGUUCUGACACUAAGGCACGAAAGCGUAGGGAGCAAACGGGAUUAGAUACCCUUGUAGUC
rnacentral:rRNA from 1 species